AUUCAGCUGACGAGUCCUGAAUAGGAAGAAACGCGCGUCCUGGAU
rnacentral:hammerhead_ribozyme from 1 species